UACGAAGGGGGCUAGCGUUGCUCGGAAUUACUGGGCGUAAAGCGCACGUAGGCGGUCUUUUAAGUCGGGGGUGAAAUCCUGGAGCUCAACUCCAGAACUGCCUCGAUACUGGAAGACUCGAGUCCGGGAGAGGUGAGUGGAACUGCGAGUGUAGAGGUGAAAUUCGUAGAUAUUCGCAAGAACACCAGUGGCGAAGGCGGCUCACUGGCCCGGUACUGACGCUGAGGUGCGAAAGCGUGGGGAGCAACAGG
rnacentral:rRNA from 1 species